UACGUAGGGUGCGAGCGUUAAUCGGAAUUACUGGGCGUAAAGCGUGCGUAGGUGGUUUGUUAAGUCAGCUGUGAAAUCUCCGGGCUUAACUCGGAACGGUCAGCUGAUACUGCUUUGCUAGAGUGCAGAAGGGGCAAUCGGAAUUCUUGGUGUAGCGGUGAAAUGCGUAGAUAUCAAGAGGAACACCUGAGGUGAAGACGGGUUGCUGGGCUGACACUGACGCUGAGGCGCGAAAGCUAGGGUAGCAAACGGG
rnacentral:rRNA from 1 species